AAAAAGUUUUAUUUUAACUUAAGAAUUUAAUGUAAUUUUAAUUUAAAUGUAAAUUUUAGUAUAAUUUUAUUUUUAAAUAAGAUAAUAAUUUUAUUGCAAUAAAUAGUAUUAAAUAUUAAAUAACUUUAGAUUUAGUAAUAAUAUAAGUAUUAACUUAAUUUGUGCCAGCAGUUGCGGUUAUACAAAUAAUACAAUUAAAUUAUUUUAGUUUUAAUUAAUUAAUAAACUUAAAUUUAAAUUAUAAAUUUAAUAAGUGAAAUUUUAAAUUUUGUAAAGAUUUACAUUUGUUAAUGACUUAAGAAAUUUUAAUUAUAAACUAGGAUUAGAUACCCUAUUAUUUAAAAUGUAAUUUUAAAAACUAAAUUAGUAUAAGAUAUGUUCUCGAAAAUUAAAGAUUUUGGCGGUAUUUUAGUCUAUUCAGAGGAACCUGUUCUAUGAUUGAUAGUCCACGAUUUAAUUUACUUAUUUUAUUAAUUUAUAUAUCGUCGUAGUUUGAAUAUUUUAUUAGAAUUUUAAUAUUCAAGAUUUAUAAUAAUAAAAAAAAUCAGAUCAAGGUGUAGUUUAUAAAUAAGUAGAAAUGGGUUACUAUAAUUAAAAUUUAAGAUAAUUAUUUUUAAAGUAAUUUGAAUAAGGAUUUGAAAGUAAUUUUAAUUUAUUAAUUAAAAUGAUUUUAGCUCUAAAAUAUGUACAUAUCGCCCGUCGCUUUCAUUAUAAUGUGAAAUAAGUCGUAACAAAGUAGAUUUACUGGAAAGUGAAUCUAGAUUCAA
rnacentral:ncRNA from 1 species